UAAAAAAAAAAAAAAUUAAAAUCUCAAACCUUCGACGUCGUCCUUGCCAUAACGAAGACCAUACCAUUUGGUCCUUCCGUGCUUGACCCCCUUGAUCUCUCGCCUUCCCUCUCGGUCCCCUUUUCCCUCUUUUUCCGUCCUCUGCGUUUUGUUCUCUGUUUUUUCCUCACACGCGCCUUUUUCUUCUUUUGAUUUUCUGGGUUUUGUUCAUGUUUUCUUUCCCACUGCUCUUCACUUUUACUUAACUACUCGUCUCUUUUACUUAUGCAUAUAUGCACAAGUUAAGGGAGGCUGAAUUCCUUCAAAUAUUUCCGCGAAAACUGCAAUUAUAUUCCUUCCUCAAACACCACACCACACCCUCUCAAUAACUCCAGCACCGUGGCUGCCAAAAACCUCAUCAACCGCUGCACUGCACCCCAAAACCCACUAAACCUAUCCUACCUCGCCGACAAAUGUACCACUCUACAACAACUCAAACAACUCCACGCCCAAAUGAUCGUGUCAUCACUCAUCAACGAGCAUUUCGCCGCAAGCCGAUUAUUAUCCUCAUUCGCUCUUUCCCCUUUCGGUAACCUCACUCACGCUUCCACAAUCUUCUCUUCCAUUCACCGACCCAAUUCUUUCAUGUGGAACACUCUCAUCCGCGCUCAACAAAAACAACCCAUAAACGCUCUCUCUCUUUAUAUAUCCAUGCGUAGGCAUUGCGUUUUACCAGGUAAACACACUUUCCCUUUUCUCCUCAAAGCAUGUUCUUCACUCUCGCAACCAUUAUUACCUUGUAAACAGGUUCACGCACACGUGGUUAAAUUUGGGUUGCACUUAGAUUGCCACGUGGGUAAUGGUUUGGUUCGUUGUUAUUCUGUUUCGGAUGAUUUGAUUGAUGCACGGUACGUGUUUGAUGAAAUUCCUAACAGAAAUUUGAGUCUUUGGACAACGAUGAUUUGUGGGUAUGCGCAGAAUUUUUGUUAUAAUGAGGCUUUGGGUCUUUUUGAGAGGAUGGUUGUUGAUGGGUUUGAGCCUAAUGGGGCGACGCUGGCUUCGGUUUUGUCAGCUUGUGCUCGUUCGGGUUGUCUUGAGCUUGGGGAAAGGAUUCACGAGUUUAUGAGAGUGAAACGGGUUGAAGUUGGAGUGAUUCUUGGGACGGCGUUGGUUUAUAUGUAUGCCAAGAAUGGGGCGAUUUUGAUGGCGAGGAAGUUGUUUGAUGAAAUGCCUGAGAAGAAUGUUGUUACUUGGAAUGCUAUUAUAUGUGGUUUGGCUUCUCAUGGGCUUGUUGAUGAUGCUCUUAGUUUAUUUGAGAGUAUGAAGAAGGAUGGGAUUGUUGUUCCUAAUGAUGUCACAUUCAUUGGGGUUUUGUCGGCUUGUUGUCAUGCUGGUUUGAUUGAUGUCGGUCGUGAGGUUUUUUGUUCGAUGAAGGUUGUGUAUGGAAUUGAACCAAAGAUUGAGCAUUAUGGAUGCAUAGUUGAUCUUCUUGGGAGAGGAGGUAAGUUGCUCGAGGCAGAGGAAUUGAUAAAAGGGAUGCCGUUGAAACCUGAUGUGGUUAUUUUGGGAGCUUUGUUGGCAGCUUGCAAGAAUAAUGGACAUACUGAGGUUGCUGAAAGAGUGGUGAAAGAAAUUCUUACUCUGGAACCUCAUAAUCACGGAGUUCAUGUUUCUUUGUCGAAUAUGUAUGCAGAAGCUGGACAAUGGCAGGAAGUAUUGAGACUGAGGAAGAUGAUGAAAGAAGAGAAACUUAAGAAAGCUCCAGGAUGGAGCCUCGUUGCGACUUAAUUGAGUUUCUAACAUGACUUGUAUGAGGUUGAUAUCUAUCAUUUUUGGAAAAAUUUGAUUAUUUCAUUGUUAGCAUAUGGUGAGGAAGUGAUUUAUGGUGCUUACUAAAGAAAUGGUUCCACACUACUGCUUUAUCAUAAAGUUGUAUCCUAACAAUUCGGCAAGUGACAGAUUUUUCCCUCGCUAUUGCAAGCACAUAAGUAUGCUGCUGGACUCCGGAGGAUAUUUACUGUUUGGUGUUCAGGACUACUUGUUCAAGAACAGUUGAAAAGUCAAGGAUCCAAAUAAAACACGGAUUUGGAUCCUCUACCUUCUAGGGGGGAAAGGUAGAGUGACUUUUGGCAAAAAUUGAGUAAAAUUGGAAAGAUGGUGACAUAAAACACAUAGUGAAUCCCCUUCUGUCAGCUAAGAAACUUAUGAGGAUACCAGGUCCGAGUCUAAGACUGAUAAAGGGGCUGAGUAGAGAAGUUAGAGGAGAAUUUCUUAUGUGGAAAAUAGUGGGGGGUAGGCAACCAAAUAUAAGGGAGGGGAAAAUGGUAAGGGAAUCACUUUGGUCAUUUUUGGUUAGAACCUUAUAGGCUUGUUAGAGAGAGUACCAUCUCUUCUUUGAGGAGCAAUUGUAAUCCAUCUAGUUUUCUAUUUCAUGCUACUUAUUCAAUCUUUUGAUUUAUCCAUGCUUUGUAUUGAACUGUAAAAUUCCUCUCGGGUUUGUUUUGAUCUGAAAUGGGGUCUGAUAUGGUUGCAGAUAUACUACCAGGGAAGAGUUUUUAGGGAUUCCAUCCAAUGUAACAUUUCAUAUGGGCUUGAUUGAUUGGUAUUUAUAUCUAUGUUGCUAGGUAGUUAAUCUCAGCGUUUCCCGGCGAGAUCCCGCUGUCCCGGUGCAGUACAGUGCCUGACCGCGACGGGGUGGUCCGCGGCAGUGUGAAACAAGAUCCCGACGAGAUCUAGAUAAGAUCCCGCUAUUAUUUCUUCCUUCAUUGUUUUAUUGUUUCUACUUUCACGUUUCACCUAAGAAGAAGUAGAAUAUGCUAAUGAAGAUGAUGCUUAUCUUUGAUUCCUAUGCUAGAACAUGCAUGUUUAGUUAUUUUAUUACUUUGUGUUAAAGAUUUCAAUAUGCAUCAUCUUUAUUUCCUUGACUCUUGUUGGUAUUUCAAUGUAUGUUUUGACUAAGAGUAAGACUUGUAGAUUCUUAUUAUUAAUUAUGAAUAUUUCAGAGUUUGUGUCAUUUGUUAAUUUUGCAUUAAAUACAUGUUUAUAUAAUAUUAUUCAUGUAUUUUGUUCAAAAAAGUAGCAAUUAUCCCACCUAUCCCAGAACGCGCUAUCCCGCUAUCCCACUUUUAGGGUUGGCCGCAACGCACCGCUAUUUGGGAUUAACUACCUAGCUAUGUUGGUAUUUGUACAUUUAAGUUUUUGGGAUGCAGGUGGUGACAGAGCUUUCAGCUGUUUCAUUGGCUGUGCUCACUGUGCUACCAAAGUUUUUGACCCUGCACCUUGUCCCUUUCAAUGCUACAUCUACUCAAUCAGUUGGGUUUUUACUCUUAUUCUAUGUACUUAUAUAGAUAAGUACAUCUAGGUUGGGAUGAGUUUUUAGGGAUUCCAUUCAGUGUAACAUUUCAUAUGGGCUUGAUUGAUUGGUAUUUAUAUCUAUCUUGGUAUUUGUACAUUUAAGUUCUUGGGAUGCAGGUGGUGACAGAACUUUCAGCUGUUUCAUUGGCUGUGCUCACUGUGUUACCAAAGUUUUUGACCCUGCACCCCACACUAUGAAGAGAGAAGAUCUUGGAAUAGCAUGAACUGGAGCUGGUUCACCAGUUGGCAAAACAUGGUUUAGUUUUGGUGGAAGUACUGGCUCACUUAAGGGAUAAACAUGGUUUGAUUUUGGCGGAAGUACCGGCUCGCUUAAGGGAUAAACACCAUUUGGUGGAAGUAUUGGCUCGCUUAAGGGAUAAACACCAUUUAGUGGAAGUAUUGGCUCGCUUAAGGGAUAAACACCAUUUGGUGGAAGUAUCGGCUCGCUUAAGGGAUAAACAUGAACUGGCUCACCAGUUGGCAAAACAUGAUUUGGUUUUGGUGGAAGUAUUGGCUCACUUAAGGGAUGAAUUGGAACAAUUGGCACACCAUUGGGUAAAACGCUGUUUGAAGUUUUGUGAAAAGCAUGAACUGGCAAAACAUCUAGAGCAGCUGAUUCUAUGGCUGAAACCGCACUCA